CAAGGGACAUACCAAGUCACAAUCCCUACGGGUUCUCGCCCGUCACCUAGCAUGUGUGUCAUCUUAUUUAUCAAAACAGUACGAAAUACCGGGGUUUCAUACCCUCAAUACAAAUGUACAAUCAUUACUUACCUCAAAUCGGGUGAAAUACUACUCUGUGAUGCCCUUGCCUCUCAAAUCGGCCUCAACUCACUUCGAAGCUAUCCAAAAACAACAUCACAAUAUCAAUAUAUGCUAUGGAUGAAGCCCAUGCGAAAAUAAUCAAAUUACAAUACAAAUCCCGAAAUUGGCCAAACCCGACCCUCAGGCCCACGUCUUGGAAUCCGAUAAAACUUAUGUCAAUAGAACCCUUAUCCUCUCACGAUUUCCAUACAUACCAAGAAUACCAAAAUCUGACCACAAAUGGCUUCUCUAAUCCCUAAAUUUAGAUCUCCAAUUUAUAAGCCCUAAACUCCCAAUUUUAACCACUAAUUACCACAAAUUUCAAGCUUAAAUAGUCAUAAACCAUCAUAGAAACAAGUUUAGGGUCCAAAAACCUUACCUCCACGAAAUCCUAUUGAAUUCCCUCUUCAAUUUGCUCUCUCAAGCUCAAACCCCUAUGUGAAAAUGGUGGAAUAACCAAAAAUUUGCGAAGGAGGAUUAUAUACUUUCCGACACAGGGUUUUUGCACAUGAGGUCCCUUUACCGCAACUACGGUAACGCUUCUUUGGCCAAACAACCGUUUUACGGUUUCCACUUAAGUCUUUCAAAACCGCAGCUGUGCAUCCUGUUCUGCUCUUGCGGUCUCGCAAGUGCGCUGAGCCUUUCGCACCUGUGCCUUCUGACCAUCCUUGCCCAUGGUUGCAUCUACGGCUUCUCUUCCACUUCUGUGAUCCCGCACCUACAAUUCCCAAUCCGCAGGCGCGGUUAUGACAACAAAAUCAGCAGCUUCAGCUGCACAAUUAUCACACUUCCUUUUUUGCCAUCCACAACCUGGUGAAGGGCAUAGAUAAGUGAGUUUUUUCAAUUAAAGAACAAUCGAAACGGGAUUCAAUUAUUAAAAAGAAUUUCAGAGUCGCCACCUGAGAGGUUUAUGGUGUCCCAAGUCAUCGGUUAGAAUCCCGCAUCGAGGAAAAAGUGACUCUGUUUAAUAGUCCGCGAACCAGAAAUCCGAGUAUGGAAUUAUAUUAACUCGGGAGAAGGUGUUAGUCAUUCCCGAAUUUCGUGGUUCUAGCACGGUCGCUCAACUGUCAUAUUUGGCUUAAAUUAUCUGAUUUUAGAACAUGCAACGAGAAAUUCGAGUAAGGAAUUCUGUUAACCCGGGAGAAAGUGUUAGGCAUUCCCGGGUUUCGUGGUUCUAGUACAGUCGCUCAACUGUCAUAUUUGGCUAAAAUUAUUUGAUUUUAGAACAUGUUCUAACUUGGGUACUUUUUGACUUUAAACCGCUUUUAUCAUUAUUUUAAGAAGAAUUGCAACGUUGUUAAAACGUGUCUUAAACCACGUCACAUAAAUGCACCUGUGAUUUUUGACACAUUUCAACUUCGUUGGGAUUUGGAUUUGAAUCGCAUAAAUGUGCACCCGAAUUUAGGAAAGUAAUAUUAUUAAGCACACACCUAAUUAUGUGUUUGCAGCUUUGCGAGGGCCAUAGAAAUUUCACUAAAUGGCACGCCUCGACUUCUAAGGAUUCAAAAUUAAUUAAAUGAGGGCCAUGAGCUUAGGAGUUUUAUUUGGCAUGGCACGCCUCCAUUUAUUUCAAAAGAUUGGACUCCACUCAAAGCCAACUAUGAAUGUUCGUAAUUAUUAACGGCCUAAUCCUGUUACUAGCAUUCCAAGCCAAUCAGAUAAUAUAUAUAGUAUACAUGAAUUCAAAUCUCAUUUGUGAUGCCCGAAAAAUGGCAACUACCUCGAUUCCAAACUUUAAAACAAACUACUAAAGCUGCCCCUCACAAAUUGAGAUUAGCUAAAUCAUGUUCAACCUAAACAUACAAAUAUGAGAAAGUCAAAUUGAUAUCAGUUUUGAAUUAAGCUACAGCGUCAGUGAUUUCUUAGUCUUGUGACCAUAUCAUAUUAUAAUACUGAAUACGAUCUAUAGUUACGCUACAACCAAUUUACGUUAGCUCUAACUCUGACUUCAGGUAUAACUUGUUCCAAGAAUUCAUUGUUUGGGACAGCAUAUUUUAAUGUCUGGUGAAACGAGAAACAGGGAACCUUGUCCACAUAAAACAGUAAACAACUCCAAAUUCUUAGAUUCGAUAGUCUAAAUUUUAACAAGAUAAAAUGAACAAUCAAUAUUGUAGACUGAUGAACAGAACCAUCCAAGCAUAUCAAACAAAAUUAAACAUGAAAACUCAUCACAAAUAUUCGAAUAAUUUGGUAAAAGGAAAACGGAAGAACCUCUGUUUGCUUCCAAGUAAUUGAAAUGGAUACUGUAUCGACGAAUCCAAAAUUGCAAUUCCAAAUAUGCAGUAGAAAAUGACCCGAACGGAACACGGACUCGAUGAUCUCGAACGGGACGGCACAAAGCUGGUAACCAGAAUUUCUGACUGGUUCAAGUUCGAGCUUCGAAUCUGGAAAUGGUGGUUGUUUUCAGGUGGUCAAGCUGUUGUUUCCGGCGAGUCUGAGGCUAGCAGAGGCCUUGUGUGUGCGUGUGUUUUCCGGCGAGCUGGGGUCGUCUGGUUCGUCGAAGAAGACGAUCACCAGGGGGUGGGGGUCUUUUUCCAAAAGCUGCGCAGCUUUUUUCGUUCUCUAUCGUGUAUUGUGUGUGAAUUUUUGUGAAGAAGAAG
rnacentral:lncRNA from 1 species